GAUGAACGCUGGCGGCGUGCCUAAUACAUGCAAGUCGAGCGAACGGACGAGAAGCUUGCUUCUCUGAUGUUAGCGGCGGACGGGUGAGUAACACGUGGAUAACCUACCUAUAAGACUGGGAUAACUUCGGGAAACCGGAGCUAAUACCGGAUAAUAUUUUGAACCGCAUGGUUCAAAAGUGAAAGACGGUCUUGCUGUCACUUAUAGAUGGAUCCGCGCUGCAUUAGCUAGUUGGUAAGGUAACGGCUUACCAAGGCAACGAUGCAUAGCCGACCUGAGAGGGUGAUCGGCCACACUGGAACUGAGCCACGGUCCAGACUCCUACGGGAGGCAGCAGUAGGGAAUCUUCCGCAUUGGGCGAAAGCCUGACGGAGCAACGCCGCGUGAGUGAUGAAGGUCUUCGGAUCGUAAAACUCUGUUAUUAGGGAAGAACAUAUGUGUAAGUAACUGUGCACAUCUUGACGGUACCUAAUCAGAAAGCCACGGCUAACUACGUG
rnacentral:rRNA from 1 species